GACUGCAACUGGAGGUGUUCCUAGCUUUCAAUGGAAACACUGUAUUUUCUCAGAAAAUACAGAGUUUACAUGAGAAAGGCUGCAGGGAGCUAUAGUUCUCACCUGAACAACCUCAUUAAGCUGAAGUUGUUCAGGUGACUAUAGUGUCCCUUUAAGCAAAUAUAUUUUUGUAAGGUCGAAAAAUAAAACUACAGGUAUAAAUCCACAUGUCUGUUAUGGAACUGGGUGCCUCCAUCUUUGCUCCCUGGCAGUCACUGUACUAAACCUUGCUCUUUUUUUGCCAUUGGACAUAGUGGAAGUAGAGAAAUGAAACAAUGUUUCUGUUCUCCUCAUUUGCAUUGUAUGCCUUGGCUGUGCCGGGACUGAUAUGGCACUCUACUUACAAACUGUUUUAAAAGCAAUAGAAAAAUAAACAGAGAAUCAUAUAAAAAAAAGAUUAACACAAGUUAUAGAUGAUUUUUAGUGUUUCAUUCAAUAAUAUCAUUUCCAAGUUGAAAGCUAUAACUAUAUUGUUUAUGCAUGCCCUGUCUUGCCUUAAAGAGCCAGUAAGUGUAAAAAAUAUACUCUCUGCUUUUUUUUUUUUCUUUAAAUUCGUCAAAUUGCUUAUACCUUUUUUUCCUUUACCUAAUAUGAUUGUAUUGAUCAUUAUUUCUGUUUUUUCUUCUAAAUAAAAUAUUAAUUCCCACUGUAUGUGUAAAUAUACCACCAAAGAAAGCA